rnacentral:rRNA from 1 species
GAGUUUGAUCGUGGCUCAGAGUGAACGCUGGCGGUAGGCCUAACACAUGCAAGUCGAACGGUAACAGGUCUUUCGGGAUGCUGACGAGUGGCGGACGGGUGAGGAAUGCAUCGGGAUCUACUCAGUCGUGGGGGAUAACGCAUGGAAACGUGCGCUAAUACCGCAUACGACCUUCGGGUGAAAGCAGGGGAAUCUUUAGGGAUCCUUGCGCGAUUGAAUGAGCCGAUGUCGGAUUAGCUAGUUGGUAGGGUAAAAGCCUACCAAGUCGACGAUCCGUAGCUGGUCUGAGAGGAUGAUCAGCCAUACUGGGACUGAGACACGGCCCAGACUCCUGCGGGAGGCAGCAGUGGGGAAUAUUGGACAAUGGGGGCAACCCUGAUCCAGCCAUACCGCGUGGGUGAAGAAGGCCUUCUGGGUUGUAAAGCCCUUUUGUUGGGGAAGAAAAACAACGGGUUAAUACCCCGUUGGUAUGACGGUACCCAAAGAAUAAGCACCGGCUAACUUCGUGCCAGCAGCCGCGGUAAUACGAAGGGUGCAAGCGUUACUCGGAAUUACUGGGCGUAAAGGGUGCGUAGGUGGUUGCGCCAGUCUGUCGUGAAAGCCCUGGGCUUAACCUGGGAAUGGCGAUGGAAACUGUGCAACUAGAGUGUGACAGAGGGUGGUGGAAUUCCUGGUGUAGCAGUGAAAUGCGUAGAGAUCAGGAGGAACAUUCGUGGCGAAGGCGGCCACCUGGGUCAACACUGACACUGAGGCACGAAAGCGUGGGGAGCAAACAGAAUUAGAUACCCUGGUAGUCCACGCCCUAAACGAUGCGAACUGGAUGUUGGGUCCAACUUGGGAUUCAGUAUCGAAGCUAACGCGUUAAGUUCGCCGCCUGGGGAGUACGGUCGCAAGACUGAAACUCAAAGGAAUUGACGGGGGCCCGCACAAGCGGUGGAGUAUGUGGUUUAAUUCGAUGCAACGCGCAGAACCUUACCUGGCCUUGACAUGCACGGAACCUUU